CGGACUUGGGUGGCGCACGGGUGAGUAACGCGUAAAGAACUUGCCUCUUAGACCGGGACAACAUCUGGAAACGGAUGCUAAUACCGGAUAUUAUGGUUUUUUCGCAUGGAGGAAUCAUGAAAGCUAGAUGCGCUAAGAGAGAGCUUUGCGUCCCAUUAGCUAGUUGGUGAGGUAACGGCCCACCAAGGCAAUGAUGGGUAGCCGGCCUGGGAGGGUGAACGGCCACAAGGGGACUGAGACACGGCCCUUACUCCUACGGGAGGCAGCAGUGGGGAAUAUUGGACAAUGGACCACAAGUCUGAUCCAGCAAUUCUGUGUGCACGAUGACGUUUUUCGGAAUGUAAAGUGCUUUCAGUCGGGAAGAAGUCAGUGACGGUACCGACAGAAGAAGCGACGGCUAAAUACGUGCCAGCAGCCGCGGUAAUACGUAUGUCGCAAGCGUUAUCCGGAUUUAUUGGGCGUAAAGCGCGUCUAGGCGGCAAGGAAAGUCUGAUGUGAAAAUGCGGAGCUCAACUCCGUAUGGCGUUGGAAACUGCCUUACUAGAGUACUGGAGAGGUAGGCGGAACUACAAGUGUAGAGGUGAAAUUCGUAGAUAUUUGUAGGAAUGCCGAUGGGGAAGCCAGCCUACUGGACAGAUACUGACGCUAAAGCGCGAAAG
rnacentral:rRNA from 1 species